AAUGAACGUUGGCGGCGUGGAUUAGGCAUGCAAGUCGAGCGAGAACCCGCAAGGGGGACAGCGGCGAACGGGGUAGGACAACGUAGGUAACGUACCCUCGGGGCGAGGACAGCCACGGGAAACUGUGGGUAAUACUCGAUAAACUUCCCAAUCAUUAUGGAAGGGGAAGCAAUGGGUGUGAUUCCACCUGAGGAGCGGCUUACGCAGUAUCAGCUAGUUGGUGAGGUAACGGCUCACCAAGGCUACGACGCUUAGGGGGUGUGAGAGCAUGGCCCCACACUGGCACUGAGACACUGGCCAGACACCUACGGGUGGCUGCAGUCGAGAAUCUUCGGCAAUGGACGCAAGUCUGACCGAGCGACGCCGCGUUGCGGGAUGAAGGCCUUCGGUUGGUAAACCGACUGUCAGAGGGGAUGAAGUAUACGGGAGUUAUCUCCUGUAUUUGACAGAGCCUCAGAGGAAGCACGGCGUAAGUUCGUGCCAGCAGCCG
rnacentral:rRNA from 1 species